GUUUUCAUGCGCUGAAGGGGUGGAAAGAAGAAGGAGAUAGAAACUCUAAAAAAGUGAACGAGGAACGGGAAAAAAAUGAAAGGCAGUAAAAGGAAGAGGUGAAAGGAAAAAGAAGAGAAAGAAAAGGAGCAAAAAGAAGAGGAAAGAGAGGAGGAAGGGAUACGGGCAGGAAAAUAAGAGGCACCAAAGAAAAAACGGGAAGCCAAUACAAAAAUUGGAAACACU
rnacentral:lncRNA from 1 species